UUCACAGGAGAUCCGGAUAUCCAUGCCAAUGCUGCUGAGCAGGAGUCAGGAGAGAAACAGAACUGCCCUGUCGCUGGGAACGAUGGCGCCCCCUACAGGUGCAACCUGGCCGUGCUAGCUGCACUCUGCCUAGCUCUGCUGGGUGGUCUUAAUGCUCUGGGGAUCCUGUACGUUCAGAAAAGCAACCGAUCGGACGCCCUGGAGGAGGAGAACAGGGAACUCUCCAUCUCUCUGUCUUCUGUGGAGCAGAGGCUAGCAGGAACCGAAAGAAAGUUGGAGGAACUGCAAGUGAGACACAGAAAUGCGUCAGAAACACUCUCUGCUUAUCGAGGUAAGAGAACUGAUGCUACAUUUUAUUAACUUUUUAUUUUUUAUCUAUAAAAUAAAAACACAGUGUCUUAGUAAGGUGUUUGGAAACCACGAGCUGCCAGAAAAGCUUCAAUGCACCGUGGCAUAGAUACUACAAGUCUCUGGAAGUCCGCUGGGGGGGUGGAACAUUCUUUGUCAAGAUAUUUCUUAAUUUGGUGUUUUGAUGACGGUGGUGGAGAGCGCUGUCUAACAGGUUGGCCCCAAAAUUUCCCACAGGUGUUCAUCUGGGUUGAGAUCUGGUGACUGCGAAGGCCAUAGCAUGUGAUUUAGAUCAUUUUAAUACUCCAUUCAGUGACCCCUCGUGCCCAGUGUAUGGGGGCAUUGUCAUCCUGGAAGAUACCACUCCCGUCAGGAUAGAAAUGAUAGGAUAAAGGAGAUCAACUCAGAAUAGCAUUGCAUUAAUUUGCAGUGGCCCUUCUCUCUAAGGGGACAAGUGGAUCCAAAUCAUGCCUCCCACAGCAUAACAGAGCCACCAGACCCCCUCACUGUAGGAGGCAAUCAUUCAGUGCCACACGUGCACUCACCCACUUAACGAGAAUAUGGUGAAGGAUGACUCAUCUGACCACAUCGCCUAAAUGCCCGUACAUGUCUUUGCGUGGGCAGAAUGGCAAACUUAGACUUCUUGAUAAACUACUUUCAGGUUCAUUUGCACCCAUGCAAAUUUUGAUGAUACCUGUGCUACAGUACAUAUAUAUGGAUUCAGAUAGGUAUAUACCAAAAAGGAUAACAGGUAGAGGAGAGAUCACAGGUUAGAAGCUUCCAUGAAUGGGGUGGACCUCCCUGCCACAUGGGGGCGCUUGUAUGUAGCUCGGCCACCCUAUGGACCAUGCCCAAGUCCUGGCCUUUUGACCUCUUGCACAGAGUUGCAUUUUGCCCCAAGCUUCAAACAUUUGUUCACCGA